rnacentral:rRNA from 1 species
UACGUAGGGGGCAAGCGUUAUCCGGAUUUACUGGGUGUAAAGGGAGCGUAGACGGCACUGCAAGUCUGGAGUGAAAGCCCGAGGCCCAACCACGGGACUGCUCUGGAAACUGCGGGGCUGGAGUGCAGGAGGGGUAAGCGGAAUUCCUAGUGUAGCGGUGAAAUGCAUAGAUAUCGCGCAGAACUCCGAUUGCGAAGGCAGCAUGCCGGCUCCACACUGACGCUGAGGCACGAAAGCGUGGGUAUCGAACAGG